AUUGAACGCUGGCGGCAGGCCUAACACAUGCAAGUCGAACGAGUGGCGGACGGGUGAGUAAUGUCUGGGAAACUGCCCGAUGGCGGGGGAUAACUACUGGAAACGGUAGCUAAUACCGCAUACCAUCGGAUGUGCCCAGAUGGGAUUAGCUAGUAGGUGGGGUAAAGGCUCACCUAGGCGACGAUCCCUAGCUGGUCUGAGAGGAUGACCAGCCACAAUGGAACUGAGACACGGUCCAGAGUCCUACGGGAGGGAGCAGGGGGGAAUAUUGCAAAAUGGGCGCAAGCCGGAUGCAGCCAUGCCGCGUGUGUGAAGAAGGCCUUCGGGUUGUAAAGUACUUUCAGCGAGGAGGCGUUACUCGCAGAAGAAGCACCGGCUAACUACGUGCCAGCAGCCGCGGUAAUUC
rnacentral:rRNA from 1 species